GAGCUCAGUGAUCCAUGCAGGGCUCAAAGGUCAUCCGUGGGACAGCCCCGCGAUACAACAUGCAAUGCAGAUUUCUAGUCCCAGUGAAAGUUCAUGUGACACAGUUAGCCUGAAUCAAUACUUUAGUGCAGCACAGAAACCAGGACCAGAGGACACACAGUCUGAAAUGAAGUGGAGACAGAGUGAGGACAGAGGGAAGGAGACAUUUCUUCACAUAGAGAGUGAUGAGGGCAUGAACCACAUCUCUACACAAUGGCUAUGUGACCAGGAUGGCUUAUGGUGACGUCACACCAGGAAGGAGAAUGGACCCAGAUUGCAAGCACCACUACAAGAUUAAAAGAAGAUUCGGGAUGGAUGGCAUAUUUUGUUUUAGUUUUCUCUGAAUGUUUGUUUUAUGGUAUUUUAGUUUUAAAAAUCACUGUUUGUUUAUUUUUGUUAAUACAUUUAUAUAUAAAUGAACCAUUUUAUUUGUAUGCAUCCGUGUUUAUGUAUAUAUAUUGACUAGUUAUUUUAUGCUUAAUAAUGUAUUAUAGUUUACCUCUGACCUGCCCAAAUGGGUCAUGUGAUGCCUGGGCAGGUAUAUAAGCAGGCAGAGUGACACUGAUGGAAUCAGUUGUGAACUAGCAGUGGCUGAGAGUAGAUCUCUGUAUAGGAGGAUGUAUGAUUGUAUAGUUUUUCUGUCAGAAUUGCAACCAGCAUGGUGCUUCCUAUAGACUGAGGAAACACCUAAGAAAAUUAAAAAGGUGCCUUUUUUGAGAAAAUCUUGUUUGCAAUAAAGAUUACAAUAAUUUCUAAAGAACUGCUACGGUUUCCGUUUUAUCCUUGCACAUACAUUUUAAAAUGGGCAAUGAUAAGAAUAAAUAACUAAAUCUUAAGAAAAACUUCAUAUUUUGCAUCACAACCACAAUUAUUGGGUGAUUAUUUUGGAUCAUAAAAAAUGUACAGAAUGUAUUUAUUUUUGUAAUCAUCAUAUAGUAUGUUCCUCUUCCAAUAUGUCAGUAAUUGAUGUUUUUGUCCACUAUACCAUGAAGCAUUUGCUGUUUUACUAUGGGCUCAUGCCCUGUAUGAUAUUGUUAAAAUGAAAUAAGCGGUUUGAGACAUUCCAGGUGUUUCUUGGCAAUGCAUUUAGAAUCCUAUUCAUAAGAAAAUUGGUACCCAAGCAAGUGUUUAUCCAUUGUAAAUAAAUACAUCAGGAAUUGGUUGGUAUCAACAUAUUCAACACUUAUUAUCAAAGAUUCCUAUGGUCUAAUGCUACUAUGUUAAAAUGCAUCAGGCAAAAACAACUGCAAGCGAAAGGCAUUACCUAUAGCGUUUUUUGUAUCUCAAGCUGUAGAGGAGGAAGACGCCUACAUGUCUGAGUUAGACGAUAAAGAAGAUACAUACAAGGCAAUCGGUCACUGGCCGGGUUUUCACCCAGCUUAGAAAGUCAUCAUUUUCUCUCCACAGUCAUUAUUUAUGCGACGUAGCAGCACAUAUCACACGCUAUAGGAAGUGUGCAUCUAAGUGUUUGACUUUAAAGAUUCUUUUUAUUUUUAUAUAUGUGACACCGUUUAUUCAACAUUUUUAGGGCAGCAGUGUGGAGUAGUGGUUAGGGCUCUGGACUCUUGACCGGAGGGUCGUGGGUUCAAUACUUUACCUAGAUUGCUCCAGUAAAAACCCAACUGUAUAAAUGGGUAAUUUGUAUGUAAAAAUAAUGUGAUAUCUUGUAACAAUUGUAAGUC